rnacentral:tRNA from 2 species
GGCUCCUUGGUCAAGAGGCCUAAGACAUCGCCCUUUCACGGCGGUAACACGAGUUCGAAUCUCGUAGGAGUCACCA